rnacentral:sRNA from 1 species
GCCGGGCGUGGUGGCUCACGCCUGUAAUCCCAGCACUUUGGGAGGCCGAGGCAGGUGGAUCACUUGAGGUCAGGAGUUCGAGACCAGCCUGGCCAACAUGGUGAAACCCUGUCUCUACUAAAAAUACAAAAAUUAGCUGGGCAUGGUGGUGCAUGCCUGUAAUCCCAGCUACUCGGGAGGCUGAGGCAGGAGAAUUACUUGAACUUGGGAGGCGGAGGUUGCAGUGAGUUGAGAUUGUGCCAUUGCACUCUAGCCUGGGCAACAAAGCGAGACUCUGUCUCA